CCUACGGGAGGCAGCAGUGGGGAAUUUUGGACAAUGGGGGCAACCCUGAUCCAGCCAUUCCGCGUGAGUGAAGAAGGCCUUCGGGUUGUAAAGCUCUUUCGCAAGGGAAGAAACGUUACGAGCGAAUAACUCGUGAUAAUGACGGUACCUUGAUAAGAAGCACCGGCUAACUACGUGCCAGCAGCCGCGGUAAUACGUAGGGUGCAAGCGUUAAUCGGAAUUACUGGGCGUAAAGCGUGCGCAGGCGGUUUUGUAAGUCAGAUGUGAAAUCCCCGAGCUCAACUUGGGAACUGCGUUUGAAACUACAAGGCUAGAAUAUGUCAGAGGGGGGUAGAAUUCCACGUGUAGCAGUGAAAUGCGUAGAGAUGUGGAGGAAUACCAAUGGCGAAGGCAGCCCCCUGGGAUAAUAUUGACGCUCAUGCACGAAAGCGUGGGGAGCAAACAGGAUUAGAUACCCUGGUAGUCCACGCCCUAAACGAUGUCUACUAGUUGUUGAUAGUAGUAAAUACUAUAGUAGUAACGUACGAGACGUACGUACGUAGAAGUAGACCGACCGUCGGGUAGGUACGGUCGCGAGAAGUAAACGUAACGAAAGAAGUAGUACGCGUGAGACGUAGACGACGACGACGACGAGGGAGGAGG
rnacentral:rRNA from 1 species